GCCACGGCUACCGAAUUCGUAUUAGCGCGGCAGUGACGAGCAUCCGGUUUACGCAAGCAGGCGUAGGCGACGUGAGAAGACGAGAGUGUUCCACAGUGUCCAGCAACAGGAGGCAGCUGUAAACUCUCUUUAAAGUCUGCCUGCCUUCUGCGCCGGCCAUAGUUGACGGCUCCCCUCCAGCGGCGCCACUCGCCGAGAUCGGAGCUGCACAAACAUUCAGGGCCGUGUUUUCGUGGCUGCACUAGAAUGAAUCUUAAGCCGCAAAGGAUGUUCCAGAACCCGGAAAUUCGAAAAAUUAUAAAACUCUGUGAAUAUACAGGUUACGGCGAUGUGCCACCAGUAGGGGCGUAGGGGGCACGACGCAGGACCACACACGCGGUACCAUUUCCCCUUGAGCAAAAACAUUACCCACACUCGGUCCCGGAGUACGUGACACGCACGAGGCACACAAGAGCAACUUACAGAUCGCCUCAGCAUCUCCUUCUCUCGUUCCUGGUUUCUCUUCUCGCUACUCUCUCCUGAUCGUUGCCAGCACACAGUCUUCGGGAAGUUUUCUACAUACACGGUUCUUCGUGCCGUGUGGUAGUGGCGAGAGGGGUUCGGACGAUCCAAGAAGCGCAGUGAACGCGGCCGACGUGCGGCGUAGAGUCGAAGACGGAGCGGAAGAGGGCCACCGAUGUACCCGAACGUAAACACGACUCCCUUACGGGCCUCUGGGAGAUCGAAAUCGCCGCUGCUCUGGGCAAUAUUAAUCGAGACCGGAAAUACGCCGGUUUACUGGCUGAGCCGAGCCGCCGCCUCUUCGCCACUGCACACUAAAGCAAAUCUGCAUAAUUGAUUAUACGCGUCUCUCCCUUGCCACUGGUUAUGAUUUGAUUGCCGGCCACAAGUAUAGGCUUCGGACUGUGUUCUCUCCUGCGUGUAUAAUCGAUCACCUUAUUUGUUUUUUAUUUCAUUAAAAUGUAAUGAAAAUCCAUGUCAUUGAUUUAGCAUAUGCAAAGGGGUUCGUCCGUGUUCUAUAAUUUCAUUGAAAAUCAAUAAGGAACAUGGUAAAAGUGAAACGAAACUACCAUUUCUCAUCCAUAGAAGAGAAAGAAGUGGGAACAAUGUUUUUUGAAUGCGUUCAUUAAGCCAUGGGGAAGAGCGUUAACACCGGACGAUUAACUUAUUAACCUGUCUUCAUAAUAUCUGCAUAACGAUGCACUUCAUUAGGCGUCGUAACAGCACUCCUGUGCGGGGUCGCGCGUCGUGUGUCCGUUGCACGCGCGUGUAUGCACGCCGGAACGUUUAUUGGGCAGUCUCGCACGCACUCGAGAUUUGUGUGCACGUGUGGGACGUGUGGGACGUGUGGGACGUGUGGGACGUGUGGGACGUGUGGUGUGGAACAGCGUGAAAAGAAGGACAGACAGAUCGCGGUAGAACGGGAGGGAACGGAGAAAAUUAAAUAAGAGGGAGAAAGAUAGAGUGAAACAAGCUGGCAGAUCGAAAGAGGUAAUGUAUAAAUACACGACCACCCACUGCGAUACCGAGUCCGACACCCUGUCCCGCCAAAUACGAGACAAUUUUCGAUUCUGAUACGGACAGCCGCGACUUUUUAUCCUUUUUCCCCUUCUUCUUUUUUUUUUUGAUGGGACUCCUCUCGGAGACCUUGUCGUUGUUUUCAUUGAGUAUCUUCGAAGAAAGAUUGGUGCUUUACUGAUGUCUACUUCCAAGUAUUUUAUUAAAUAAAAAAGUAUAUAGGGUUACUUUGCAAAUGGUAGAAAAGAAAUGGAGUAAAUAUUUCAUAGGAAAAUUGAAAUAUUACUAUGGUACCUGAAUAUUAAUUAAAAACAUAUAGUGGGUGAAAACAGUAUUGGCAUGCCCUGGUUUCAUUCUGAAUCAACUUUGGAAUAUGUAAAAUGUUUCAAAGUCCUAAGAUGGAAAGAGAGGAAAUGUGAUUGCACAUUGUCGUGACGGCUUCGACGAAUGCACCCUACUGUAGUUGGCGAUCCGGCGAUAAGGCACAGCGUGCAGUGGGACCGUUAAUAAUUUUUACGACACUCUUAACUCGCCACCCAGUAUUAAGCGGUCUUCCGUAGAAGACGAGCUUUGAUCUUUGCCGACGCUGCAUCGGCUUAAUGAGUGCGAGACAGAGAUAGCGGUAAAGCCGAGCUGAAAUGCAGCGUAUGAUCGCGUCAGAGUCCCCAAGAGAUCUAUUUUCCACACUAUAUGUUUUUACAUUCUUUUUUUAUUUCAAUAAUUUCUGUUAGGAGACGACCAGUUCACAUUUUGUAGGAGCUAGUUACAUAAGUACAUAUGUAGGUACAUACAUGUACAUGUCGAUAGAUAAAUUAGAAAAGAGUAUUUGGAGCAUACCUAUAUUUGCAUAUUUAUCCUUAGUCAACUUUCGCUAUUGAUUUUUACUAAUGUUUGAUUAGUAAUCAUCUUAGUGGUGGUACCAAAACAGCUCGUAUAAGUAAGAUAGCGACUGACAAAGGUAGUAUCAGCGAUAACCAGCUGCGGUAUCGACGGGAGACCUUAUUUUCGAUGGUAUCUGGGAAAUAGAAACAAACGAAUGGACGGACGGACGUGUAUGCCGCAUUCCGUGUUUAUUAUUUUGCCGGUGGGUGGUCUGGAGAAGUCCAGAGCCGUCUUGGUGGCCGAUAGCAUCUCUCGUGUCUCUCAUGUGCACGCACCGUUGAACGCGGCCAACGCACAGUGAACACGAACGUGGAGCACCGAGUCGUCUUGCGUAAGGAAGUAGUCGACUACUCUCCUUCCUCUACGACCAUUAUCUCUCUCCGGCUGAUCUUCCUUUAUUCCUACCUUGGCCUUAUACUUUUCCUCUUAUCUCUCUCUUCUUCCGUCUUGUUACGUUGCCCAUUGGCGUAACUACUGCUCAGAGAUGGGAAGUUUGUUAUUGGAACGGUGUAGUGUCAAAAGAAGUAUACCAUAGGUAUAAUUGUCCUUUGUUGCUUCUUUUUUCUUUCUCUCACGUAUAACACUUUUUUUUCUUUUCUUUUCCUGUCGACUUUUAUGACUUUCUUUGAUGUUUACAUAAUUUUCUAAAUGUUAUAUAAUAUUUGUCUUCCUAUUUUUUAAACAAUAUUAUAACAUGUAAAUUCAGAAUAUGUGAACUCCAAUUCUGAAACUCUUGUACGACAUCGUUAAACCCGAUCCAAGGAUGACUAAUGCCAAGGAUUACGGUUUAUACCAGCUCCGUGCUGAAGAGUGGAUCGUCCUUUACCAUUGUAAUGAGGUGAAUCGUUAUACCCUUCACCAUAGAUAAUACACCUACUCGAUCGUGAAGAGUAGCAAAGAAGAUAGACGAAGAAGAUGGUAACCUACGGCUAUCUGCAUCUACCGACCGCUACCGGUGCUUCUCCUCGUCGAUGGAUUAUCUACGAUACGUUCGUAUUGUUGGCUGCACGGCGCGGCGCGGCGCGGCGCGGCGUCGAAAGAUCGCGGGGACAUCGACUUCCGGUCUUUGUCGGAACCCUCGACGAAUUCCGUUCUGGACGAGGAAUUGUCAUUAUCUUUGUUGACUCGGCGGAUUCUUUGUGUCCCUCCUCUUGUCCCUUCGCUACUAUGUAUGUAUGUGGCUGCUAAUGAUACGAUCUAUGUCCUGUGGCAGUGUUCGAUAGGUGGAACGGUUAGUUGAUUGGUAAUUAUGAAACGAUGAUACAGAACGUAAAUCACGGUUUAAUUAAACGGGUAUUCCAGUGUAUGGUAGACAGCCGUUUUCGAUCUGAUCUUUCGGAAUUAAAUCAAAGAAAAUUCCAUAUCGUAAUUUAUCAUAGAUAAAUUGCUACUAUUCCUAUAAAAAUUAAAAUUUUUGAAAAAUAGUAUGACUUCUUCAAAUUUAAAGAUCUUUGCUUUAUCUUUACCAUUGCAUUUCCAUAUGCGUACAAUGAAUAACAACGUAGAAGCUACUUUAUUCGCCAUUGUCAAGGGGUACGUGCAAAAGCAUGAAUAACGGUAUGUAUACAUUUUCGAGCCCUUGCUUCCGAAUCGCUUUAAAGAGUCUCGCCCAAUAGCAAGCGCGACUUUGUAUGCAGUCUACCUUGAAGGAAAUGCAACAAAUCGUUCCGAUGGAUUUACGAUUUUGAUUCGAAGUAACCACAGAGAUGUAUCAGGGUGUGUUGUGUGCCCUUGGUCGGUCUGCCUUUUCUGACCAUAUCGCUUUUCGUCAUGGCCCGCGGUAUGCUUGCGGACCACCAACGUCGUCGCAAUUAGUAAGUCGGAUAUCCUUCACUCUUAUUCUCUCGCUCCUAUUCCCAUUUACUUUGUAUGUAUCUAUUUCUCUAACCUCCUCUUCUAGAUACACAAAUUAAUCUGCUGCUUCGCUUAUCUCAAUUGAAAAUUUAUUUUUCAAAUUUUAUACUAGUUUCAAUUUUUAUAAUAUGUUCUCCGUAAGGUACAACAAGUGUUUUAAAACAAUGAAAUCAAUAGUGAAAGGUAGCUGUUGUCCUUUCAGAAAAGGGCAAGGUUUUGGCUUAAAAUUGAAACUGCUCGCUCAGCGGGAAAGCCAUUCUUUAAGAAUUUCCAAAAUGUCUAGAAAAAAAGGGCAGCUAGAAAAGAAAGUCCUUUGCCACGUUAAACAGCGUCUCUAAUUUCAUCUAGGAGAAUUAUCGUUAACUGGAGUCCCUGACUGGAUGGUCCUUCUUGCCCAUUGAGCCUGCAACCAGAGCCACUCGACAAUGGCUCAUUGUGUUGGCGCGCUGCCACCGGAGCUAACCCGUAUGUAAAUGAGAGAAGAAUUAAAUAUAUAUAUCUACCGAACGAUAACUUUGUUUGAAUUAGCAUUACCUGCUUUUAUAAGUGUUGCGCCGCGUACGGGCUACGGGGAACAACGCGUGUAUGUAUGGGUUCACGUGUUCGUUGCGGGUGAGCCCGAUGGUGGUCCAGAGACGUGAUACCCGAGAGAAGUUUUGCCAACCUUUUACUUUGUUAUUUUCAUGGUUUAUCUUUGUUUUUUGUUGCACCGUGUCGGGAUACUUUUGAUGAUAGCAUUUUCAUAGUAUCCGAUUUGGAAUAUCUAAUAUCGCAAAAGAUGUUUAUGGUAUUAGAUAGAUUGAUAAAGUUAUUUCUGGUGAUCCUACUACGGACCACCAGAAAUUUUCUAAACGAUUUCCCAGUGAAAUGAGGAAAGAGGAA